GGUUGCAGUGAGCCGAGAUCACACCACUGCAUUCCAGCCUAGGUGACAGAGUGCGACGCCAUCUCAAAUAAAAAAUUAAAAAAUAAAGACAUGGACCCAUCACAAGUAGUAAAAUCUUUCCUGUGCCAUCUCCCUCCCCUUAAUCUGCUUGCUCAACCCCAGCUCUGCAGUCCUCCCCAAAAACUCAUUCUCCAAAUCUCUUAAAAAUUUUUACCACCUCUCUGAGAAAAAGGGAAUGAGAACCCUCAUCUUCUUAAAGGGAAAGACCUCCCCUCCCUGGACACACCUCCCUCUCCCCAAGCUGCAAAACCCUAAGGCUGAGUCAGUUUGCAACUACUGAAGAGAUUGCUAGUCACCUACUAAUUUUCACUUUCUCUUAUCUCUACUAAAAGAACCUCAUUUCAUGUACCAAUGUUACCAGCUAAAGGAAUAUGUCCUGGUCUCUUUAAUCAAUGGGGUUAAUCAAUGUUAUACAUGCAAAAGUUGUUGGGUGGAGUUCCCAGGGAGUUUCUCAAAAAGACUGAACCAACUAGGAGAUGUGCCGUUUUUCUUUCCCCUUUGCCUCCUACAUCCUGCCCGGAAAAACUGAUGUGAUUGAAGAAGCUCCAGCAGCCAUACUGAACGAUGAGGCACUUUGAAUACAAAAGCCUACAUUUUAGUGGAGAAGAAAAAUUAUGAGGAGCCUGAGUCUUUGAUGAUCGUGAAGCCAUCCUACCACCUCUAAACUGCUACACAGACAAGUAUUCUGCAGAUGCACCACAAACACCUUAAGAACAAAUGAGUAGUAAUCAACAAUUUACUUUUAAAGAUAUCCAAAUAAGUGGGCUUGGCUUCUUUCUGGGAUCCAGUUAGCUAGAGAACUGUCAAUUUCACUGUUUGAACACAACCCAAAACAACGUAUUAUGUUGUAUUUACCUAGCACUUUAUAUAACAGAAGUUUUAACAAGAGCCUGAGGAAAAUGCAACAGAUAAGUCAUUUAUCAAGAUUCUUUGAGAAUGCCCAGAAAAAAAGCAGCUGUAAAGGCACAUCUGCAAAUUUUAGAAGACUGGGGCCACAACAUUUUGUUCAUCUUUGAAUACUCAGUGCUUACAGCAGUGCCUGGCACAGAUCAGGGGCUCAGAAACAUCCACUGGGACUUCUGCUUCCAGCCAAUAUGGAGGAAAAGGGACCAGAUUCACCCUCACACCUGAAACAACAAAAAUAUGCACAAGUAUUUUUAAACCACUGUUGGACCCACAGAUACAGACCCACAGAGGGCUAACUGUUUUCACGGCUGUCUGAUAUUCUACUUAUCAGAGACGCAUGAUGAAAUUUUAACUACUCUCCUAUUCUUGGACAUUUAGGAGGAAUAUCCAAGAAGUAACAAUAGUCCACACAAUGAUACAAUGAAUACACAUCUUCAUAUACAAGGUCCCCACUAGAAUGUAAGUUCUAUGCCUGCUUUGCCCUCUAAUAAACUCCCAGCACUUAGAGCAGCACAUGACACAUUGGGUGCCCCAUAAACAUUCUCCAGAUGACUAUAUGUAUAUACAUGUCUAUACAUGUAUUUAAAAUUUCUUUGUAGAUUGACCAAUCGCCUUCCAAAAGGAUUGUUUCACUGUAUAUUCCUAUCUAUAGUUUUUAAAUUUUGUUUUGUUUCGAUCAGCUGGGGAGGUCAUCUGAUCAAACGGGUUUAACACAAAUUCAUCAUCUUCCAGUUUUGGCGUAAGAAGUCCAAAAAGGGUCAGCAGAGCUGCAGUCUUCCUGGGAGCUCUCGGGGAGAAUCCAUUUCCUUGCCUGUUUCACUUGGUAAGGGCUGCAUUCCUUGGUGCAGUGCCCCUUCCACAUCACUCUGACCUCGGCUUCCCAACUCAUCUCUGAAUCUGACCCUCC